rnacentral:misc_RNA from 1 species
ACACCUCAACUCCUCAUGGUUUUCCAUGAUGAGCUUGGACUUUGGGGGUCUUGCUGGCCUAUGGUUGGCUCCUCUCAAAUGGAUCAGCUUGCCAGUGUUUGGUGGCAUCACAGGUGUGAUAAAUAUCUACGCUUGUGGUUUCCACCAUAUAGCCUUCAGCGACGAAGGUUCUCUGGAGCUCACAAAUGUCCCUCCUCAGCGAGGACAGCUUUUGAAC